AUACGGAGGGUGCAAGCGUUAAUCGGGAAUAACUGGGCGUAAAGCGCACGCAGGCGGUUAGAUAAGUCAGAUGUGAAAUCCCCGGGCUCAACCGUGGGAACUGGCAUUUGAAACUGUCUGACUAGAGUCUUGUAGAGGGGGGUAGAAUUCCAGGUGUAGCGGUGAAAUGCGUAGAGAUCUGGAGGAAUACCGGUGGCGAAGGCGGCCCCCUGGACAAAGACUGACGCUCAGGUGCGAAAGCGUGGGGAGC
rnacentral:rRNA from 1 species